AGUGAUAAAGCAUAAAAUUCAUGCUUUCUUCACACUGAAGAGCAACCAUUUUGUACUUUGAUGAAGAUGCUCAUGUUAUGUGAAGAUGCAGUUCUCUGGAUGCUUCCUAAAUUGUCCACGUGAUAUUCUAAUCGUCUGGAGAGAAAGCAGCAUCUGACGUUAUUCCAUCUUCAGAAUGUGAACAGACCGACUGGACACUACUACAGAAACUCCACAGGUUGUUUUGGGUAAAAAAAAGUGAGAACCUAAG
rnacentral:lncRNA from 1 species